ACGGGUGAGUAAUACAUCGGAACGUGCCCAAUCGUGGGGGAUAACGCAGCGAAAGCUGUGCUAAUACCGCAUACGAUCUACGGAUGAAAGCAGGGGAUCGCAAGACCUUGCGCGAAUGGAGCGGCCGAUGGCAGAUUAGGUAGUUGGUGAGGUAAAGGCUCACCAAGCCUUCGAUCUGUAGCUGGUCUGAGAGGACGACCAGCCACACUGGGACUGAGACACGGCCCAGACUCCUACGGGAGGCAGCAGUGGGGAAUUUUGGACAAUGGGCGAAAGCCUGAUCCAGCCAUGCCGCGUGCAGGAUGAAGGCCUUCGGGUUGUAAACUGCUUUUGUACGGAACGAAACGGCCUUUUCUAAUAAAGAGGGCUAAUGACGGUACCGUAAGAAUAAGCACCGGCUAACUACGUGCCAGCAGCCGCGGUAAACCCUAGGGUGCAAGCGUUAAUCGGAAUUACUGGGCGUAAAGCGUGCGCAGGCGGUUAUGUAAGACAGUUGUGAAAUCCCCGGGCUCAACCUGGGAACUGCAUCUGUGACUGCAUAGCUAGAGUACGGUAGAGGGGGAUGGAAUUCCGCGUGUAGCAGUGAA
rnacentral:rRNA from 1 species